rnacentral:rRNA from 1 species
UACGUAGGGGGCUAGCGUUGUCCGGAAUCAUUGGGCGUAAAGAGCGUGUAGGCGGCCCGGUAAGUCCGCUGUGAAAGUCGGGGGCUCAACCCUCGAAUGCCGGUGGAUACUGUCGGACUAGAGUUCGGAAGAGGCGAGUGGAAUUCCCGGUGUAGCGGUGAAAUGCGCAGAUAUCGGGAGGAACACCAAUGGCGAAGGCAGCUCGCUGGGACGUUACUGACGCUGAGACGCGAAAGCGUGGGGAGCAAACAGG